UUGGGAUAUCGUCUAGUGGUAGGACAGCGGAUUCUGGUUCCGUCAACGGGAGUUCGACUCUCUCUAUCCCAGCCAU
rnacentral:tRNA from 1 species